rnacentral:lncRNA from 1 species
UAAAUAAUAGAUGAAUUAAGAUGAUGAUGAAUGAGGAUUAACACACUGGUCUGGAGACUGGGGUUUUAUGUCAGUGGGUUAGCUGUGUGUGACAUGUUGGGCAAUUACUCAGCUUUUUUAACAGCUUCCAGAUAUGCAAUAUGGUCCCUGUACUACUCAAAGGUUGAUUUUGGUUUAAUUCAUCUUUGAGGUACCUCCCAGCUCUAAAACUAUGAUUCUAGGCCAUGUAAUGGGGUUGCUCCUACUUCAUUCUCUUUCCCUUUUUAAGGGUUCGGUUUAGCAUCCAUUUCUUGGGUCACCUACAAUCUUUGUUCUCCUAAGGAUUAAAAUAGAAAAUUCAUAUGUAACAAGCAAAUGAGGACAUUUUCCUAAAUGCUCCUUAUUGGUUAACCACUGAAUAUAUGAACACAUAUGAAUAUUGUCAUUCAUGUACUUAUAUUCAUUUAGCAAACCAUUUGAACACUUAUAUGUGCAGUGUGUGGUGAUCAUGACAUGAGGAACUAGUAAUAAGUAAAAUCUUCCCCCCAAAAUUCAUUGUGGCUUAAAUAGAUAUGAACAUAAUCAUUACUACUUAAUAAACUGACUGAGAGGGAAUCUUAAUAUUAACUUGGAACUGGGAGGGAGUAUUUUUAUGCAUUGGGUAAAGGGUUAGGCUAGAUGACAUCUAAGGGGUCUGAGUGAAUCAUAUCAUAAUUUUUAUAACACAUUUCACAUACUAAACAUCAGCUGGCCCUAUACCUGAUUAAGUUACAAAAUUUAGGAGACUUAACAUUAAGGACUUACAGGUUGAGACAGCCCAUAUUUCACGGCAUUAUUUUAACACUUGAAUCUGUUCCAGAGUUGUUGCUAUACAAGGCAUGUGGCAGAACAAAAAAAAGCUGGUGUUGAUAUAAGAGCUUUUUACCCAGUAUUGACAGUGUAGCAACCUUUUUUUUUUUUUUUUUUUUUUUUUGAGACGGGGUCGCUCUGUCGCCCAGGCUGGAGUGCAGUGGUGUGAUCUCAGCUCACUGCAACCUCGCCUGGAUUCAAGCGAUUGUCUUGCCUCUGCCUUCCGAGCAGCUGGGAUUACAGGUGCCCGCCAUGACACCCGGCUAAUUUUUGUAUUUAGUAGAGAUGGGGUUUCACCAUGUUGGCCAGGCUGGUCUCGAACUCCUGACCUCAAGUGAUCCACCCACCUUGGCCUCCCUAAGCUGGAGUGCAGUGGUGCGAUCUCAGCUCAAUGCAACCUCCACCUUCCCAGGUUCAAGCGAUUCUCCCACUUUGGCCUCCCAAGUAGCUGGGAUUACAGGCAUGUGCCACUAUGCCUGGCUAGUUUUUUGUAUUUUUAGUAGAGACGGGGUUUCACCAUGUUAGCCAGGCUGGACUCAAACUCCUGACCUCAAGUGAUCCGCCCAUCUCAGCCUCCCAAAGUGCUGGGAUUAUAGGCAUGAGCCACUGCGCCUAGCCUGUUGCAGCUUUUUAAAGCAGGAAAUAUCCAAAUAAAAUGUUGGGUUAGAAUCUAUAUUAGAAUCUUUCACACUUAAUUGAAAACGGGAAGACUAUCAUCUAAGUAGCCAGAUAAUCUGGGUUUCAAAAAAUUAUUCCAUGGUACUAGUUUAAAAAAUACUUUUCAAGUGUUUUAAUUUUUAAAGUAUAACUAAUUUUUCAAAUAUUUUAUGCUGUUAAAAUGUGUAUUACAUAAAUACUUUUUGUAUAUGUAUUAAAUUUCAAAAAGUCAACUGAAUGUGCAAAGAUGAUAUAUAAUUUUGGAUGUGUACAUUUAAACUAGAUUCCCAGUCCUCUCCUUCAAAAACUUGGUCUUUGUUUUUCCUAUAGGGGAAAAAGUCAAAAUAAGUUCCAAAAAUUAUCCUCAAAGUAGUAGUAUGCUUGUAGUAAAUGAAGGUUGGAUAGAUGGAUACUGACAAUGGUGGCAGGCAUUUCAAGCCUUUUAUUAAAUUAGUACUUUUUGUCUUCUUCCUUAUUAACAUUUUGUUGUUAAUUUUAGCAAAGACCAAUUGUGAUAAACUGGUGUUUUUUGGAUGCUUCAAGCACAUGUUAACCAAUUUUGUAAUUCCUCCUUUUGGUUCCUCCCAUUGUUCUAAAAUAGGACUUUCGUAUUAUUAAAACCUCAAAAGAUGAUCCACCCAGGAUGAACAAAGAUCACCAAGGGGAAAGAAAACAUUUUUUAUCUUUACAGAAAACAAAUGUUAAGAUUAUAUAUAGAUGUAUUCUUUACAUUGGAUAUUGUAUUAGAGUCCUCCUUACAAGAAAUGAAAUAGUUUUUAGCACUCUUAGCAUUAGAGUUCCUAGAUUGGUGUUGAUAGCUACAGUUUUAAAAUGUAUAACCUGAAAAUGAAGGUUAAUUUUGCAUUGUAAGAGCACAUUUGAUCUAUGUAAAAAGUGUCCAUUUGGUGUAUUUUUUUAAAAAAGAGAAAGCACUUUCAUAUUAAGUAGCAUGUGUAUGAAUUUAGAUUUUCAUAUUUGUUGUGUCUGUAUUCAGUGAAGUAAAUUGAGCAUUUAAAUGUUUGUUGAUGGCAACAUUAACUAUUAAAUUAAAGCACCUUAUACUCUGCUGCUUAACUUGCUUGUAAUUGCACCUUUGUUACCUGCACAUUUUCAUAUAGAAUAUUGUUGUAACAUUGCUUCGUGUGGGUCUGGAUGGAAGAUUAGUGGGCCUACAGGAUCAUUUAUUUAUAUUGUUUAUAUUAUAAUAAUAUAUUGUAGACCAGUUGUAAGUUCAUUUCUUUACAAAUAAAAGCCUCUUCCAUU